rnacentral:rRNA from 1 species
UACAGAGGUGGCAAGCGUUGUUCGGAAUUACUGGGCGUAAAGGGCUCGUAGGCGGCCAACUAAGUCAGACGUGAAAUCCCUCGGCUUAACCGGGGAACUGCGUCUGAUACUGGACGGCUUGAGUUUGGGAGAGGGAUGCAGAAUUCCAGGUGUAGCGGUGAAAUGCGUAGAUAUCUGGAGGAAUACCGGUGGCGAAGGCGGCAUCCUGGACCUAACUGACACUCAGGGACGAAAGCUAGGGGAGCGAAUGGG